UUAGGACUUCAUAAGGCAGCAACUAGCACUUGCAAUUAGAUUCAUAAGCGUAACACUUUGAAAUGGUCAGUUGUCAGCCAGGCCCCCAUAUUGUGGAAUAUCUGCAGUCUCCAAAUCAGCUUCCAGGAGACACCCAUGUAGAAGGCUUAUACAUCACAGUCUCUGGUAAAAGCUUCCCAGUCCAAUUAGAGCAAUGAAGGGUGCACCAGACCAAACUGGGAUCAGGCUUUCUUGGUCUUUUAUCUGCUGCUGUGAGUCUGGGAAAAUUCCCAAAUCAUGGACCUCUGCCUUCAACAUAGCAACAGAAGUGAUGAAUGAGUAUGGGAACUGUAUUUUUUACUAGUUUCGCGCUGCUCAUACAGGCCAUAUUGGAUGCAUCAACUACACAUGUGUUGCUGGGGAUACAGAACAAGAUGAUGGAAUAAAAUCAUUAAAAAGUUAUACUUUUAUGAUUUUGAGAAGUACACCACAUGGAAAGGGUGGUACAUUAAUGCAAAUGAAGUAGCAAUAGCACUUAGACUUAUAUACUGCUUUAUAGUGCUUUACAGCCCUCUAAGUGUUUUACAAAUUCAGCAUAUUGGCCCCCACCAAUUUGGGUCUUCAUUUUACCCACCUUGGAAGGAUGGAAGGCUGAGUCAACCUUGAGCCUGGUGAGAUUUGAUCUGCCAAAUUGCAGGCAGCUGGCAAGCAGCAGAAUUAGCCUGUACUACUGCACUAUAACCGCUCUAGCCACUGAGGCUCAAGUAUUCUGUGGUCUGAUGCCUUCAAUGUCUGGCAGUGCUUGAAUUACAUGGAUGACAAAAUCCUUAGCUAUUUAAGCAGAAUAUAAUAGAACCAUAAUUUGACUACAACUGGAAUCGGGGUAGUACUGUAAUUUCCUAAGCCUUUCUAUCUAUACUCAAAUCAGCCCAAUACAAGCAUUCAUGUUUGAGUUAAACGUUUUGUCUUAUAGUUACACCUAUAGAAUAUUACUCUAUAUUAAUACACAUUUCUGGGAACCAUUGAAAACUAGUCUGGGUUUCCUGAGUAGCCCACAUCAUCAUCUCCAUAAUUACUCUUUGGAUUCAUACUACAAAUCUUGCAUUAGUACCACCAAAGGAUGGAGAACGUUGCAUGAAAAUUAA
rnacentral:lncRNA from 1 species